CGCUUGAAUACAUAGCAUGGAAUAAUGAAUAGGACGUUCGAUCCUAUUUUGUUGGUUUCUAGGAUUGACGUAAUGAUUAAUAGGGAUAGUCGGGGGCAUUAGUAUUCAAUUGUCAGAGGUGAAAUUCUUGGAUUUAUUGAAGACUAACUACUGCGAAAGCAUUUUGCCAAGGAUGUCUUCAUUAAUCAAGAACGAAAGUUAGGGGAUCGAAGACGAUCAGAUACCGUCGUAGUCUUAACCAUAAACUAUGCCGACUAGGGAUCGGAUGAUGUUAAUUUUUUAAUGACUCAUUCGGCGCCUUACG
rnacentral:rRNA from 1 species